AUCCAAUUUGGACAGGUGUCAUCA
rnacentral:siRNA from 1 species